CCUACGGGAGGCAGCAGUGAGGAAUAUUGGUCAAUGGACGAGAGUCUGAACCAGCCAAGUAGCGUGAAGGAUGACUGCCCUAUGGGUUGUAAACUUCUUUUAUAUGGGAAUAAAAUGUUCCACGUGUGGGAUUUUGUAUGUACCAUAUGAAUAAGGAUAGGCUAACUCCGUGCCAGCAGCCGCGGUAAUACGGAGGAUCCGAGCGUUAUCCGGAUUUAUUGGGUUUAAAGGGAGCGUAGGUGGAUUGUUAAGUCAGUUGUGAAAGUUUGCGGCUCAACCGUAAAAUUGCAGUUGAAACUGGCAGUCUUGAGUACAGUAGAGGUGGGCGGAAUUCGUGGUGUAGCGGUGAAAUGCUUAGAUAUCACGAAGAACUCCGAUUGCGAAGGCAGUUCACUGGACUGCAACUGACACUGAGGCUCGAAAGUGUGGGUAUCAAACAGGAUUAGAUACCCGAGUAGUC
rnacentral:rRNA from 1 species